CUAACACAUGCAAGUCGAGGGGCAGCGGGGGUAGCGAUACCCGCCGGCGACCGGCGCACGGGUGAGUAACGCGUAUGCAACUUGCCUAUCAGAGGGGGAUAACCCGGCGAAAGUCGGACUAAUACCGCAUGAAGCAUGGAUCCCGCAUGGGAAUAUUUGCUAAAGAUUCAUCGCUGAUAGAUAGGCAUGCGUUCCAUUAGGCAGUUGGCGGGGUAACGGCCCACCAAACCGACGAUGGAUAGGGGUUCUGAGAGGAAGGUCCCCCACAUUGGUACUGAGACACGGACCAAACUCCUACGGGAGGCAGCAGUGAGGAAUAUUGGUCAAUGGCCGAGAGGCUGAACCAGCCAAGUCGCGUGAGGGAUGAAGGUUCUAUGGAUCGUAAACCUCUUUUAUAAGGGAAUAAAGUGCGGGACGUGUCCCGUUUUGUAUGUACCUUAUGAAUAAGGAUCGGCUAACUCCGUGCCAGCAGCCGCGGUAAUACGGAGGAUCCGAGCGUUAUCCGGA
rnacentral:rRNA from 1 species